rnacentral:rRNA from 1 species
GACGACGCUGGCGGCGUGCCUAACACAUGCAAGUCUAGGAGAAUAAGCGCUUUCGGGUGCUUUAGUAAACUGGCGAACGGGUGAGUACCACGUAGGUAACCUGGCCCUUGGAUUGGGGAUAACACUGCUAACGCGGUGCUAGUACCGAAUAACGCAACGAGGUCUCAUGGCCUUGUUGUUAAAGCUGGCCUCUAUUUAUAAGCUAGCGUCUGAGGAUGGACCUGCGUCCCAUUAGUUAGUUGGCGGGUAACGGCCCACCAAGACCGCGAUGGGUAGCCGGCCUGAGAGGGUGACCGGCCACACUGGGACUGAGAUACGGCCCAGACUCCUACGGGAGGCAGCAGUGAGGAAUAUUGCGCAAUGGCCGAAAGGCUGACGCAGCAACGCCGCGUGAGGGAUGAAGUUCUUCGGAAUGUAAACCUCUGUUAGAGGGGACGAAUGAGGGAGAGACCAAUAGACUCUCUCUUUGACGGUACCUUCAGAGAAAGCCCCGGCUAACUCCGUG